rnacentral:rRNA from 1 species
UACGAAGGGUGCAAGCGUUGCUCGGAAUUAUUGGGCGUAAAGGGUAGGUAGGUGGUAAUAAAAGUCUGGGGUGAAAUCCCUGAGCUCAACUCAGGACGUGCCUUGGAAACUUUAUUACUAGAGUGCUGGAGAGGUCCGCAGAAUUCCCGGUGUAGCGGUGAAAUGCGUAGAGAUCGGGAGGAAUACCAGAGGCGAAGGCGGCGGACUGGACAGCAACUGACACUCAACUACGAAAGCGUGGGUAGCAAGCAGG